rnacentral:rRNA from 1 species
UUGUCUCAAAGAUUAAGCCAUGCAUGUCUCAGUACAAGCCAAAUUAAGGUGAAACCGCGAAAGGCUCAUUAAAUCAGUUAUGGUUCCUUAGAUCGUACCCACACUUACUUGGAUAACUGUGGUAAUUCUAGAGCUAAUACAUGCAAACAGAGCUCCGACCGGAGACGGAAGGAGCGCUUUUAUUAGAUCAAAACCAAUCGGUGGCGGGUCCGCUCGUCAUCGUAUAACUUGGUGACUCUGAAUAACUUUAAGCUGAUCGCACGGUCUAGCACCGGCGACGCAUCUUUCAAAUGUCUGCCUUAUCAACUGUCGAUGGUAGGUUCUGCGCCUACCAUGGUCGUAACGGGUAACGGGGAAUCAGGGUUCGAUUCCGGAGAGGGAGCCUGAGAAACGGCUACCACAUCCAAGGAAGGCAGCAGGCGCGCAAAUUACCCACUCCCGGCACGGGGAGGUAGUGACGAAAAAUAACGAUACGGGACUCAUCCGAGGCCCCGUAAUCGGAAUGAGUACACUCUAAACCCUUUAACGAGGAUCAAUUGGAGGGCAAGUCUGGUGCCAGCAGCCGCGGUAAUUCCAGCUCCAAUAGCGUAUAUUAAAGUUGUUGCGGUUAAAAAGCUCGUAGUCGAAUUUGUGUCCCGCGCCGCCGGUUCAUCGUCCGCGGUGUUAACUGGCGUGUCGCGGGACGUCCUGCCGGUGGGCUUAGCUCUUCGGGGCGGUCCAACUCAAUCCCGCCGCGGUGCUCUUCACUGAGUGUCGAGGUGGGCCGGCACGUUUACUUUGAACAAAUUAGAGUGCUUAAAGCAGGCUAAAACUUCGCCUGAAUACUGUGUGCAUGGAAUAAUGGAAUAGGACCUCGGUUCUAUUUUGUUGGUUUUCGGAACCCCGAGGUAAUGAUUAAUAGGAACGGAUGGGGGCAUUCGUAUUGCGACGUUAGAGGUGAAAUUCUUGGACCGUCGCAAGACGGACAGAAGCGAAAGCAUUUGCCAAAAACGCUUUCAUUGAUCAAGAACGAAAGUUAGAGGUUCGAAGGCGAUCAGAUACCGCCCUAGUUCUAACCAUAAACGAUGCCAGCUAGCGAUCCGCCGACGUUCCUCCGAUGACUCGGCGGGCAGCUUCCGGGAAACCAAAGCUUUUGGGUUCCGGGGGAAGUAUGGUUGCAAAGCUGAAACUUAAAGGAAUUGACGGAAGGGCACCACCAGGAGUGGAGCCUGCGGCUUAAUUUGACUCAACACGGGAAAUCUCACCAGGCCCGGACACCGGAAGGAUUGACAGAUUGAGAGCUCUUUCUUGAUUCGGUGGGUGGUGGUGCAUGGCCG